AGAAUUUGCUUGCUGGAUCCACCAGACAAUUCAAUGGGUUGAUCAUCUGUAAAAACAAGAAGAGGGAAAUUUAACUUCAAUUGAUGAAUCUACUGUAUUACGAAUAUUCACACUGAAGACAGGAAGAAAUGCACAAAACAGCAUAAGCCAGCCCUGUCCUCUCAACUCUCAAGGACAGUGACUCUCCCAGGCUCUCAAGCUCCAAAGCUUCCUCCUCAGCACAAGUGAGACAGUGAGAGACGUGGCAACACCAGCAGAGCUGAACUUGGGAGUUCAGCAGGGAAGGCACCGCCUCUUUACUCUCCCUCCCUCCCUUCCUCCCCUUCCCUUCCUUCCUCCCCAGUACCUGUUGC